UACGCAGGGGGCUAGCGUUGCUCGGAAUCACUGGGCGUAAAGCGCACGUAGGCGGCUUUUUAAGUCAGGGGUGAAAUCCUGGAGCUCAACUCCAGAACUGCCUUUGAUACUGGGAAGCUUGAGUCCGGAAGAGGUGAGUGGAACUCCGAGUGUAGAGGUGAAAUUCGUAGAUAUUCGGAAGAACACCAGGGGCGAAGGCGGCUCACUGGUCCGGUACUGACGCUGAGGUGCGAAAGCGUGGGGAGCAAACAGG
rnacentral:rRNA from 1 species